rnacentral:rRNA from 1 species
AAUGAACGCUGGCGGCGUGCCUAACACAUGCAAGUCGAACAAGAAAUCUCGAGCUUGCUCGAGAGAGUAAGGUGGCGAACGGGUGAGUAACGCGUGGGUAACCUAUCCUUAAAUCUAGGAUAAUCUACCGAAAGGUGGCCUAAUACCGGAACAAUCCCAAGAACCAUGGUUCUCGGGAUGAAAGCUGACCUCUUCACGAAAGUUGGCGUUUAAGGAGGGGCCCGCGUACCAUUAGCUUGUUGGUAGGGUAAGGGCCUACCAAGGCUACGAUGGUUAGCUGGUCUGAGAAGACGGCCAGCCACACUGGAACUGAAACACGGUCCAGACUCCUACGGGAGGCAGCAGUGAGGAAUCUUGCGCAAUGGGGAAAACCCUGACGCAGCGACGCCGCGUGAGUGAAGAAGGCCUUCGGGUCGUAAAGCUCUGUCAAGUGGGAAUAAAACUGUGCAUUUAAUAGGUGCAUGGUCUGAAGGUACCACUAAAGGAAGCACCGGCUAACUCCGUGCCAGCAGCCGCGGUAAUACGGAGGGUGCAGGCGUUAUUCGGAUUUAUUGGGCGUAAAGAGCGUGUAGGCGGCUGGGUUAGUCAGAUGUGAAAUCCUUCUGCUCAACGGAAGAAGUACGUCUGAAACUACCCAACUUGAGUACGAGAGAGGAAAGUGGAAUUCCCAAUGUAGAGGUGAAAUUCGUAGAUAUUGGGAGGAACACCUGCGGCGAAGGCGACUUUCUGGAUCGAUACUGACGCUGAGACGCGAAAGCGUGGGGAGCAAACAGGAUUAGAUACCCUGGUAGUCCACGCCGUAAACGAUGGGAACUAGGUGUAGCGGGUAUUGAUCCCUGCUGUGCCGAAGUUAACGCAUUAAGUUCCCCGCCUGGGGAGACGGUCGCAAGGCU